UUUUUUCCUGUAGCAAUACAGGGAAAAGUCUAGCGGCGAACGGGUGCUUAACACGUGGGCAACCUGCCAAGAAGUGGGGGAUAGCUCGUCGAAAGGCGAAUUAAUACCGCAUGUGAUCAGAGUGGACAUCCAUUCGAAAUCAAAGUCGGGGCAACCUGACGCUUCUUGAGGGGCCCGCGGCCUAUCAGCUAGUUGGUGAGGUAACGGCCCACCAAGGCUUAGACGGGUAGCUGGUCUGAGAGGACGACCAGCCACACUGGGACUGAGACACGGCCCAGACACCUACGGGUGGCAGCAGUCGAGAAUUUUUCUCAAUGGGGGAAACCCUGAAGGAGCGACGCCGCGUGGAGGAUGAAGGUCUUCGGAUUGUAAACUCCUGUCAUUGGGGAACAAUGCGUAAAUAUUAACUGUAUUUGCGUUGAUAGUACCCGAAGAGGAAGGGACGGCUAACUCUGUGCCAGCAGCCGCGGUAAUACAGAGGUCCCAAGCGUUGUUCGGAUUCAUUGGGCGUAAAGGGUGCGUAGGCGGCGCGGUAAGUCGGGUGUGAAAUCUCGGAGCUUAACUCCGAAACUGCAUUCGAUACUGCCGUGCUUGAGGACUGGAGAGGAGACUGGAAUUUACGGUGUAGCGGUGAAAUGCGUANAUAUCGUAAGGAAGACCAGUGGCGAAGGCGGGUCUCUGGACAGUUCCUGACGCUGAGGCACGAAGGCCAGGGGAGCAAACGGGAUUAGAUACCCCGGUAGUCCUGGCAGUAAACGGUGCACGUUUGGGUGU
rnacentral:rRNA from 1 species